AUUGGGCAAUGGAGGCAACUCUGACCCAGCCAUGCCGCGUGAGUGAGUAAGGUUUUACGUAAUUAGUAAAGCUUCGUUUCGGGUGUGAAGAUGAUGACGGUAACACCAGAAGAACGCCCGGCAAACUUCGUGCCAGCAGCCGCGGUAAUACGGAAGGGGCGAGCGUUGUUCGGUAAUUACUGGGCGUAAAGGGUGUGUAGGCGGUUAAGUAAGAUAGUGGUGAAAUGGCCGGGGCUCAACCUCGGAAUUGCCAUUAUGACUGCAGGACUAGAGUUCACCAGGAGGGGGUGGAAUUCCAAGUGUAGCAGUGAAAUGCGUAGAUAUUUGGAAGAACACCGAUGGCGAAGGCAGCCCCCUGGGGUGCGACUGACGCUCAUGCACGAAAGCGUGGGGAGCAAACAGGAUUAGAUACCCUGGUAGUCCACGCC
rnacentral:rRNA from 1 species